rnacentral:rRNA from 1 species
GCUAAGAAUAUUCCGCAAUGGACGGAAGUCUGACGGAGCGACGCCGCGUGGAUGACGAAGGCCGAAAGGUUGUAAAGUUCUUUUGCUGGGGAAGAAUAACCGCAGGAGGGAAUGCCUGUGGGAUGACAAGAACCGGCGAAUAAGCCCCGGCCAACUACGUGCCAGCAGCCGCGGUAACACGUAGGGGGCGAGCGUUGUUCGGAAUUACUGGGCGUAAAGGGCAUGUAGGCGGCUUGGAAAGCCUGGCGUGAAAGUCUGCAGCUUAACUGCAGGGGUGCGCUGGGAACUGCUGAGCUUGAGUGACGGAGAGGGAGCUGGAAUUCCUGGUGUAGGGGUGAAAUCUGUAGAUAUCAGGAAGAACACCGAUGGCGAAGGCAAGCUCCUGGCCGAUGACUGACGCUGAGGUGCGAAAGUGUGGGGAUCAAACAGGAUUAGAAACCCGUGUAGUCC